UAGCUCAGUUGAUAGAGCGUGGUGCUUGCAACGCCAGGGUUGUGGGUUCGAUUCCCGC
rnacentral:tRNA from 1 species